rnacentral:rRNA from 1 species
GACAGAGGGGGCAAGCGUUGCUCGGAAUUACUGGGCGUAAAGGGCGCGUAGGCGGGAUGGCAAGUCGGUCGUGAAAUCCCUCGGCUCAACUGAGGAUCGUCGAUCGAUACUGCCGUUCUUGAGGAUUGCAGAGGAGACUGGAAUUCCCGGUGUAGCGGUGAAAUGUGUAGAGAUCGGGAGGAACACCGGUGGCGAAGGCGGGGUCCUGGGCCAGUACUGACGCUGAGGAGCGAAAGCGUGGGGAGCAAACAGG